rnacentral:rRNA from 1 species
UGCUCCUUGAUUCAGCGGCGGACGGGUGAGUAAUGCCUAGGAAUCUGCCUGGUAGUGGGGGACAACGUUUCGAAAGGAACGCUAAUACCGCAUACGUCCUACGGGAGAAAGCAGGGGACCUUCGGGCCUUGCGCUAUCAGAUGAGCCUAGGUCGGAUUAGCUAGUUGGUGAGGUAAUGGCUCACCAAGGCGACGAUCCGUAACUGGUCUGAGAGGAUGAUCAGUCACACUGGAACUGAGACACGGUCCAGACUCCUACGGGAGGCAGCAGUGGGGAAUAUUGGACAAUGGGCGAAAGCCUGAUCCAGCCAUGCCGCGUGUGUGAAGAAGGUCUUCGG